rnacentral:rRNA from 1 species
UACAGAGGGUGCGAGCGUUAAUCGGAAUUACUGGGCGUAAAGGGUGUGUAGGUGGAUAGGUAAGUUAGAUGUGAAAUCCCCGGGCUUAACCUGGGAACUGCGUUUAAAACUGCUUGUCUAGAGUAAUGUAGAGGAUAGUGGAAUUUCCAGUGUAGCGGUGAAAUGCGUAGAUAUUGGAAGGAACACCAGUGGCGAAGGCGACUAUCUGGACAGAUACUGACGCUGAAGCGCGAAAGCUAGGGGAGCAAACGGG